rnacentral:rRNA from 1 species
UCCGUAGGUGAACCUGCGGAGGGAUCAUUACUGAGUUACCGCUCUAUAACCCUUUGUGAACAUACCUACAACUGUUGCUUCGGCGGGUAGGCCGUCCCCUGAAAAGGACGCCUCCCGGCCCGGACCGGACCCCCCGUGGGGCCGGACUCGGCGCCCGCCGGAGGAUAACCAAACGCUAUUUUAACGACGUUUCUUCUGAGUGGCAUAAGCAAAAUAAUCAAAACUUUUAACAACGGAUCUCUUGGUUCUGGCAUCGAUGAAGAACGCAGCGAAAUGCGAUAAGUAAUGUGAAUUGCAGAAUUCAGUGAAUCAUCGAAUCUUUGAACGCACAUUGCGCCCGCCAGCAUUCUGGCGGGCAUGCCUGUUCGAGCGUCAUUUCAACCCUCAAGCUCUGCUUGGUGUUGGGGCUCUACGGUCGACGUAGGCCCUCAAAGGUAGUGGCGGACCCUCCCGGAGCCUCCUUUGCGUAGUAACAUUUCGUCUCGCACUGGGAUCCGGAGGGACUCUUGCCGUAAAACCCCCCAAUUUUUCAAGGUUGACCUCGGAUCAGGUAGGAAUACCCGCUGAACUUAAGCAUAUCAAUAAGCGGAGGA